GAGAGAGAGAGAGAGAACUAGGCAGCUGGUAUACUAUCGGUAGCACGGAGACCUCCGUGCUAUCAAGUUGUUUUCAAUGAUGCGGCUUUCAAAUCGACGAUCAACUCCGUUAAACUUGAUCUACACUAUUGAAAGUAUUUGGAAACUAAAUUUCAUAAUUUUUUGACUUAAUUUACCUAUCAAACGAGUAGUUUAAAAAUGAACAGCUGAAAAAAAAAAUCUCAUAAAAAAUAAUAAUAAAAGACUUGAAUUUAAAAUCAGAGGUACUGAUCUUACUCUAAAUAGUAAAAAAAAUUUUCUAUAAAAGUUUCAUCAAAUUUGAAUUGUUUUAUAUUGUUAAAUUCACAAACGAAUCACAUCGAUCAAUAAAAUUAUCGAUUUCGAGACGUUUUGAUCACAAGCCAAAUAAUGUUGAAAAAAAUUAUGAAAUUUAGUUUCCAAAUACUUUCAAUAGUGUAGAUCAAGUCUAACGGUCCGAUCGUCAACUUGGAAGCCGCAUCAUUGAAAACAACUUGGUAGCACGGAUGUCUCCGUGCUACCGAUAGUAUAUCAGCUGUCACGCCCCGGUAUUACACGUUUCCCGGGCACGCCGACAAAUCGGCCGUAUACAAAGAAAUUUCCCCUAUAUACGAAGCGAUAGCUGUACCUGUAAACAUACAAUACUACAAACAGUAGUAUAGAGCUGCUAGAAGAACCAGUAACAAAAACAAACCGAGUUCCAUAUACAUACGCCAAAUCCCAGAUACAAACUUGUCACGCCCCGGGACCGAUGCCAAUUUGGCCCGACCCGAGCACGUCAAACAGAUGCUGAACGGACAGAGUUUUCCCUAUCCGCCC
rnacentral:lncRNA from 1 species